rnacentral:rRNA from 1 species
UACGGAGGGUGCAAGCGUUAAUCGGAAUUACUGGGCGUAAAGCGCACGCAGGCGGUCAAUUAAGUUAGAUGUGAAAUCCCCGGGCUUAACCUGGGAAUGGCAUCUAAGACUGGUUGGCUAGAGUCUCGUAGAGGGGGGUAGAAUUCCACGUGUAGCGGUGAAAUGCGUAGAGAUGUGGAGGAAUACCGGUGGCGAAGGCGGCCCCCUGGACGAAGACUGACGCUCAGGUGCGAAAGCGUGGGGAGCAAACAGG